GGGUGGGGCGGGCGCAGGCGCAGAGCUGUUAUUGUUCCUCGGUGCCACCGCCUGGCCCGGGCUGCUGUCGCCGCCAUCGCUAGCGCCAUGCCGAUUAACAAGCCUGAGAAGCUGGACAAGCCGGAAAGCUGUGACAAUGUCAAGGUGGUUGUUCGCUGCCGGCCUCUCAAUGACCGUGAGAAAGCUACGGGCUACAAAAUGUCAGUGAAUGUGGAUGAGAUGAGGGGAACUAUAACUGUUCAUAAAACAGACUCAUCCAAUGAGCCUCCUAAGACGUUCACAUUUGACACAGUGUUUGGACCGGAGAGUAAACAGCUGGAUGUCUAUAAUUUAACAGCAAGACCUAUUAUAGAUUCUGUCUUAGAGGGAUACAAUGGUACUAUUUUUGCAUAUGGGCAGACUGGAACAGGCAAAACCUUCACCAUGGAAGGGGUCCGAGCAGUUCCUGAGCUCAGAGGCAUCAUUCCAAAUUCCUUUGCCCAUAUAUUUGGUCAUAUUGCCAAGGCAGAGGGGGAUACAAGGUUUUUAGUUCGUGUCUCUUACCUGGAAAUUUACAAUGAGGAAGUGCGGGACCUACUGGGAAAGGACCAAACACAGAGGUUAGAGGUGAAAGAGAGACCUGAUGUGGGAGUUUAUAUCAAAGACCUUUCAGCUUAUGUUGUAAACAAUGCAGAUGAUAUGGACAGAAUCAUGACCCUGGGCCACAAGAACCGUUCUGUUGGUGCCACAAACAUGAACGAGCACAGCUCUCGCUCUCACGCCAUCUUCACCAUCACCAUUGAGUGCAGUGAGAAGGGGGUCGAUGGCAACAUGCAUGUGCGCAUGGGCAAGCUGCACCUCGUUGACCUUGCUGGUUCUGAAAGACAGACAAAAACUGGAGCCACAGGGCAGAGACUGAAGGAAGCCACUAAGAUCAACCUCUCUCUCUCCACACUGGGCAAUGUUAUCUCUGCACUGGUGGAUGGCAAGAGCACCCAUGUGCCCUACCGUAACUCCAAACUCACACGGCUGCUUCAGGACUCCCUGGGGGGCAACUCCAAAACCAUGAUGUGUGCAAACAUCGGACCAGCAGACUACAACUAUGAUGAGACCAUCAGCACUCUCAGGUAUGCAAACAGAGCCAAGAACAUAAAGAACAAGGCCAGGAUUAAUGAGGAUCCCAAGGAUGCUAUGCUCCGCCAGUUCCAGAAAGAAAUUGAAGAGCUUAAGAGAAAACUGGAAGAAGGAGAGGAGAUUUCUGGUUCUGAAACCAGCGAUUCUGAAGAGGAGGAUGAAGAUGGGGAGAUUGGAGAAGAGAAGCGGAAGAAACGGCGGGGCAGUAGCAGCAGCAGUAGUUCAGACUCUACAUGCUCUGUCAUAGAGAAACCUCUGGAUAAGUCCUUCACUAAUCAAGCAGGUAAAAAGAAAGUUUCCCCUGAUAAGAUGGUAGAGAUGCAAGCAAAGAUUGAAGAGGAGAGAAAAGCUCUUGAAACUAAGCUUGAUAUGGAAGAAGAAGAAAGAAAUAAAGCCAGAGCUGAACUGGAAAAGAGAGAAAAAGACUUGCUCAAAGCUCAGCAAGAGCACCAGUCUCUGUUGGAGAAACUGUCUGCACUGGAGAAAAAGGUGAUUGUGGGAGGAGUGGACUUGCUGGCAAAAGCAGAAGAGCAAGAGAAGCUUUUAGAAGAAUCAAACAUGGAACUGGAAGAACGAAGGAAGAGAGCGGAGCAGCUUCGCAAGGAGCUGGAGGAGAAGGAGCAAGAGCGCUUGGACAUUGAGGAGAAGUACACCAACCUCCAGGAGGAAGCACAGGGAAAAACCAAAAAACUGAAGAAAGUUUGGACCAUGCUUAUGGCUGCAAAGUCUGAGAUGGCAGAUCUACAACAAGAGCAUCAGAGAGAGAUUGAAGGGUUGCUGGAAAACAUUCGGCAGCUGAGCAGGGAGCUUCGCCUUCAGAUUCUCAUCAUAGACAACUUCAUUCCUCAGGACUACCAGGAAAUGAUUGAGAACUACGUUCACUGGAAUGAAGACAUAGGAGAGUGGCAGCUGAAGUGUGUUGCAUAUACAGGAAACAAUAUGAGGAAACAGACGCCUGUCCUGGAUAAAAAAGAGAAAGAUCCCUUUGAAGUGGACCUUUCCCAUGUUUACUUAGCUUACACUGAAGAAAGCUUGAGGCAAUCUCUGAUGAAGCUGGAGAGGCCGAGGACUUCAAAAGGAAGAUCCAGGCCCAAGACUGGUAGAAGGUGAAGAACUCUGGGCUAUUUAUAUGCAAUGAGGGAUUUACCCAAGGGAAAGCUUAACUUUGUAAAACGUUCAGCCAAGCCAGGAGCUGUUAUUGAUUCCCUGCUGCAGUAGUGUGACCUGGUCAGAAUUCCUGUAAAAAUCAGUGAGUGUAUAAGGUUUGGCCAGAAUAUGGAAUUCAAGAGAUGGCACACUUGGACAUGGCUAUAAUUUUUUAUUUAAAAAUGUAUUUUUCUUAGUUGCCUGUAUAUUGUAUGUUAUAUUAACAUAAUAUUAAACUGGUAUAUAUGAUUGAUGGAUGUGAAAUUUUGUGUAUUAAAUGUGUUAUGAAGGGAAACUUGUUGGUAAUCCUUGUUGAAAUGUAUAGAAAACAGGGUUCUAGAUGUGUGUUUAAGUGCUUAUGUGUUAGUUCAAAGUUAAUGAAAACCUGAAAUUAGGGCUGGUAAAUCUGACUUAUGCCCUGCUUUGCACAUAACUGGCAGCUUUCACUGUUGUUCUCUGUUGCACUGAUCUGUGUUUGAAUGUAGUUGCUGCAAACCUUUAAGAGCAUCAAAUCUUUUUAUUUAAUAUUCCUCACUGUGGCUGUUAACCCAAUCGUGUUGUGUGUUGAAUACACAGUCCUUUACCCCUUUUGCUGUCUUGCUGUACAGAGAAAAUAGAAAAAAGGUAGGAGAAACAUGAACCACAAAAGUCUUGAGAUUUCUGAAAAGGGACCAUGCUCUUUUUUAGUGCAGCAGAAAUCAAGGGUAUCUAAUGGUUCUUUUAUCUUUAUCAGUUUGUUUGUGAUCUGGUGGCACUGUGGAGAAUGAGACCAUGGAUAUUAAGGCAAAAGAGCUUUUUUCCUUCUUUUAAGGCUAUGUUACUUUGAAGGUUUUUUAUGUUUCAGGGCUGGAAUUUUUACGUGGGUAGUUUUGUAAUCUGAGCAGCUGAGAUGAUUUAACCAGCAUUGCUCUAACACCAGGACUUGAUGUUAGCCAUGGGGCUGUGAGCACUAUGAUUCUAUUUCCUCAUCCCCAGCUACAAGGCACUGGGCCACUGCCCUACACUGAGGAUGAAUUUGACUCUCCUUUAGUAAAACAAAAUGAAUUGCCCAAUUUUCCCAGAACAAUAUUCCCUGACAUGGCUGUGCUUGUCUGUGUUCCUGUAUGUACUGUGUGCAUCUCUGGCUAUGCUCUGGUGAGAGGAAAACAUUUUUGGUCUCUGAUAAUUAAUAACCAUUUAUUUGGCUGCUCUUUUUAUUUGAUAUUUAUGCUGCUAAUAGACACAUACCACUUUAAUAUGUUCCCUUUGUGUCACAGAGAAAAUCUCCUUUAGACUGCAUGUCUUUCAUAACUCUUGGCAUCAGCUGUGGGUAUCUCAGCAGCAGCUGUGCCAGGGUGAAGAGAUGAGCUGUGAUCUCAUCUUAGUGUUACCUAGAGAAUUAAAAGCUGUGAUUACUGACAGAAAUGGAGUCCUUCAGUGUGACAGAAAACAAGACAGCUCUUCAGGUGUCCUGAGUACUUGCUAGUAGAUACUAGCUUUUACCAGAAUGUGCCUGUGAAGCACUUAAAGAAAUUAAAUGACCUUUCUUCCUGUUACAAUGGUUAAUCUGGAGGUAUCUUGGGGUCUAUGACAAGAUCUGUAAUAGUUAAAACUGGUCUUUAAAGAUGUAUUUUGCUCUGAGGGAUAUGUUCAGUGCUAUUCUAAACAAGUUGUAAGCUUUUUCCUGGUGUUUUUAAUGGGUUGUUUUUUUCAGGAUUGUGACCUGGAAGAGCCUGCUGCCCUCUCUACUGGGGGGAGUGUCACCUAAAUUCAUACAAUAUACAAAUACAAACACUGGUAUUUGUUUUUUCUAGCCUAGCAUUUACAGGUAAAUUUGCAGGUACUUUUUUGAUUGAAGCAGUAGUUGGUUAUGCCUGUGAAGAGCUGGCCUUAUUUUAAAUAUGUUUGAAUGGAGUUGGAUUAUCUCUUAUUACAUAGUUCUUAUCAAAAAAUCCAGACUGAAGAUGGCUUAAAUGCUGCUUAAAGUCUUUCAUUUCUCAGUCCAAGCAGAUAGAUGCAGAGCUGUGGCCUGUACAAGUUCUCAAAACCAGGAAUGACUUCUGGUUCCUUUUUGUGUUACAUCUUGUGCUAACAUUUAUUGAAUGAUCUGGUUUAAUGGGAUUUAAACCAGAACCGUGCUUUCAAAAAGACCAUUGAAAAUCCUUUUACCUGACAGGUAUCAGUCACUUCAAGAUGCUGCUGAGAGCUAUGGCACUCUGUUUUAAAUACUUCAAUAUUUAAAAUACUCAAUGUGUAAAGGCAUAUGAUUUACAAUUAACAGUCCUGCUGCUGAAAACCUUAGUAGUCUGCAUGUUUAGUGAGCCUUGAAGCAGGGGAAAACAGUAAGUAAUUGCUUGCACACCUUUAAUUGGCAGAUUGGAGAAAACAGUUAUCUCCUGUGCAAAGGCUUGGAGGACAAAUUAUUUGCUCUAUAAGAGGACUUUAUAUAACUUGGAGCACUGUCAUGGCCAUGUGCCCUAUCAGUUUGGCUCACCUGUUAAGUGGUGUGUUUUGUUGAAGUUCUGGGAAGUUUUUUGUAAAACCAGGGAGUUUGGCUUGUAGAUUUACCACAUGGGCCCUCUCUACAGCUCUGCCCAUCUGUGAAUGUCUAAUGGACCCAUAAUGUGUUUUAAUAGGGAAAGGAUGUGAUUUAUGUGGACUUCUAAGAGCUUAAUACAGCCUUUCUUGUUGCAGGUCAGUAUGUGCUCUAUACUAUUUAUCAAAACUCAUAUUACAUAACAUACACUGUGUGUGCUCAUCUUUGCAUCUUGCUAACAGAAGAUUCUCCUUAUUCCAGAUCACUGACCUUAACAAUGAGAUUUUUGCUUAAUGUUGUUUAAAUGAAUUAUUUCAUAUUUAACUUGUUCCUUUAAGAGGAGGGGAAAUGGUCCUUAGUGCCUUUCACUGAUUACACUGUCUGCACAUGUCCAGCUUUUACCUUUCUCUACAGUUCUGCUUAGCCAGGCUUGUAUAGAAGGAAAAACUGCUAGUUUUUUCAUAAUUUGUCUUUGUGUUUAUUGGUUUUUCACUCUGUUUAUUUCUGACUAUUUCUUCUUUUAUUAAUGUUAAUUCAUUAUAUGAUGUAUUGAUAUGUAUAUAUAUAUCAAUAUUGUGUCCCUGGAGCAUACCAUGAAAUAAAAUUCUUGAUUCUUAAUUCCA